UGGGGAAUAUUGCACAAUGGGCGCAAGCCUGAUGCAGCCAUGCCGCGUGUGUGAAGAAGGCCUUCGGGUUGUAAAGCACUUUCAGCGGGGAGGAAGGCGAUAAGGUUAAUAACCUUGUCGAUUGACGUUACACGCAGAAGAAGCACCGGCUAACUCCGUGCCAGCAGCCGCGGUAAUACGGAGGGUGCAAGCGUUAAUCGGAAUUACUGGGCGUAAAGCGCACGCAGGUGGUCUGUCAAGUCGGAUGUGAAAUCCCCGGGCUCAACCUGGGAACUGCAUUCGAAACUGGCAGGCUAGAGUCUUGUAGAGGGGGGUAGAAUUCCAGGUGUAGCGGUGAAAUGCGUAGAGAUCUGGAGGAAUACCGGUGGCGAAGGCGGCCCCCUGGACAAAGACUGACGCUCAGGUGCGAAAGCGUGGGGAGCAAACAGG
rnacentral:rRNA from 1 species